UUGGGUCUUGAAUACCCCAUAACUAGCCACCAAUUAUAGACUAUUACUGGGUCUUGAAUACCCAAGUAAUGAGUGGGUGUUAUAGAACCAUAAACCACCCUACUAAUGGAUCAUUUCUCCCAUGUGCAAAUGAAGGGCCACAACAUUGCCUUUAUAAGACUGGUCCCUCUUCAGUUCUCAGUACCUAGAAACAUAGUUGAGAGCACACAAUCUCUGAGUUUUGGCUUGAGAAAUCAAAUAUUGUUAGCG
rnacentral:lncRNA from 1 species